AACGAACGCUGGCGGCAUGCCUAACACAUGCAAGUCGAACGAGACCUUCGGGUCUAGUGGCGCACGGGUGCGUAACGCGUGGGAACCUGCCCUUAGGUUCGGAAUAACUCCCCGAAAGGGGUGCUAAUACCGGAUAAUGUCUUCGGACCAAAGAUUUAUCGCCUUUGGAUGGGCCCGCGUUGGAUUAGCUAGUUGGUAGGGUAAAAACCUACCAAGGCGACGAUCCAUAGCUGGUCUGAGAGGAUGAUCAGCCACACUGGGACUGAGACACGGCCCAGACUCCUACGGGAGGCAGCAGUGGGGAAUAUUGGACAAGGGGCGAAAGCCUGAUCCAGCAAUGCCGCGUGAGUGAUGAAGGCCUUAGGGUUGUAAAGCUCUUUUACCCGGGAUGAUAAUGACAGUACCGGGAGAAUAAGCUCCGGCUAACUCCGUG
rnacentral:rRNA from 1 species